rnacentral:rRNA from 1 species
UCCAGCAGCCAUAUCCCCUGCAACUCACAUCUGGCACCGCACUGAAGCUAAGCAGGUGUGAGCCUGGUCAGUACCUGGAUGGGAGACCUCCUGGGAAAAACUAAGGUUGCUGCUGGAA